GGCCUUCAGGGAAAGAGGGCCUUCUCUGAGGGGAGGCUGCCUCAGGGGCUUUGACAGGACCAACAUUCUUAGCCUGGUCUCUCUGAAGAGCAGACUUGCACGUACAGAAGAAAGUGCUGGAAACUUAUUGGAGAACAUUAUAAGGGAUGAUAUGAGAGUACUGGAUGAGAAAGAACAGGGCUGAAGAGAAGGAGUGGCUAUAAUCUCAGUGGAGGAAGGGGUCUUCAGAGUGGACCCCAGUCCUUAUUAUCUGUGGGGUUCUUCAGAAAAGAAGCUGGGACUUAGGGUUCGAAGUUUGUGAGCGCCCGACUCGCCAGCAAGAAAAACGCCACAACAGGAUCCUUCUGCACACGUUCACCGACAUACUCCAGAGCCCAGCGGACUCCACCUGCCUCUUUAUUAUCAGUAGAAGAGUGAGCACCUAGCAACACAAAAUUGAAUCUUUUUGCUGCUUUGGCACCAGGAUACCCAUGGCAACUUGCUUGUGUUUCUGUGGUGUGACCUUCUAUGGCUGUUUUAUGAACCUGCGUGUAUUCUCCAAGAAGUAGAGGGCAAUGUCCCACCCCCAAAAGCAGAGAAAACACAGAAGGAUGAAGAACUGUGAAAAGGUCAUGGACUUUGGAGUUGGGCAGAAGUGAGUGUGAGCUGCAUUGCCUCUUCCUGAUGCAGAAGCUUUGUAGCCAGCACUGUGUCUGUUAGAUGAUGAGGCUGCUAUUGAAGAGAAGAAGAGAACAUUCCACGAUACAGAAAGGUCUCCAGGGUCCUGGCUAGCCUAGUCCUCAUCGGCCCUACCAUUCUUCCCUUCUCUAAAUUCCACCAAUGCUUUUUCAUGGGUUCUCUAAGCCAGUGGUUCUCAACUUGUGGGUUGUGACCCCUUGGGUGGGGAUGUUAACUAUCUCUUCAUAGGAGUCACAUAGCAGAUAUCCAUCCUAUCAGAUUACAUUUGCAUUACCAUUCAUAUCCGUUCCAAAAUUACAGCUAUGAAAAUAACUUUAUAGUCAGGGGUCAUGACAACAUGAGCAACUUUUAAAGGGUCACAGCAUUAUGAAGGUUGAGAACCACUGCUCUGGGCUCUAAGACUAAGGGUGCCUGGGGAUCUGCAUACUUCUCUCUAUUCCAUUCUUCUACUAGUUCAUUCUUCCUGAAGCUUCAGAACUCAGCCAGAGUGUCACUGUCUCAAAGAAGCCUUCCCUGUCUCCAGCUAAGUGGGAUGCCCUGUGAAGUGCACCCUGAGCAUCGCAAGACUUCUCAUAAUUGUUGUCAAGGCUAAUAAUUGUGUACUAAC